AUUUUUCAGUCGAAUUACUUGUGUUUGGGUGAGUGUAUCAUUUUCGUAUGGAGGUGGCUAUACGAAUCAAUAUAUUAUAUGCGUGUACUUCUGAUACUGUGACUGUUGAUGGCAAAAUUACCUUCCCAUGAACAGAAACGCCAAAUAUCGGCUUCAAGCAGCUGCUCUGUAGGUUUAAAAUCGACAUUUGCAAUGAAUCAUUCUCACCCAACUCCUAACCGGGUAUGAAACUUGGGCAGCCCAAUCAAGACGAGAAACUGAAAACAUUGUCUAGAUUUACAAAAGGAAGCUGCCUGAAUUUCCCAAGGUUACUUCCGUCUGUGUUCAAACGAUAGUCGAUAUGAGAAAAUGAAUUCGAUGAUUAUCCUGCCUUAAUGUUCUCUCUGAGCGAGUGCAAAUAUUCAAAGGGCUCCUUGUAAAGUCUGCUCUCUGCCUAUCCAGAACUUUGUCCAUGCUGAUCAAGACUUGCCUUAAUUCCAGAUGAAGCUGUGAAUCUUCCAAUUCUUCAAUGCUUUGAAAUCAACCUAGAACAGCUAACUUCAGAUUUCUCCUGUACCAGCAAUGACUAAAAAUACUCUCCCAAAAUAUGAAAAGGUACUACAAUGAUUUAUUUGGCUUAAGUGCAUGCAAUCAAGUCUUUAUUGAUCAGUUUCAUGCAUGGAAUUUUUCUUCCUCAAACUGUACACUUCGACAUAAAAGCUUUAACUAAACUGAUGGUAAAGUAUUUUGUAUCAUGGGGAACUUCAAUGCAUCUUAAGCAAUUUUUCAAAUAGUUUCUUUAAACAUUAAAAUUUCCAAUGUUUAAUUAUUUCGAAUGAAACGGACGAAACUACUAAUCCAGUUAAAUAUUAAUGAUGUGUUUAAGAGACGAGUUGGAUUCAAACUAUAAAUCACCGACAUCUCAAUUAUGCAUUAAGCCUCUAAACGGAUCAGAAUGUCUGUUUACUUAACAUACUUAAGCUCGGAAUUCCGAUCGUAGACUUAGUCAUUUGGCACUCGCUUAAUAUGUUAAAUUGGUACUACCACUCUUGGCUCCCUCGCUUGAUACGGCGUACUGAAAUGUUCAAGAUAAUAUCAGUUAGGUACGCUGGGUAAUGAUUGUCACGUCUAGGUAAAACGCUGUUUUACGCAUGUAAUUGAUGCCAACGAUUAUUCUAAUCGGAGGAAUAAAGUUCAAUGUUAACUGAAUAUUUAGAAAUAUUUUCGACGUUUCCAAAAAACAGCUGAACUAAUUUCUUUAACAUAGAUUCGAUUUGAAAAGCUAGUUGAAGUGAUACUUUAAAUGGCUUUUAAUUUGCACUAAAUGAUAACUUCCUUUAGGAUUUCUAACUUUUUAAUUAGUUUGAUCGUACAAUUCUACAAAUUCUAGCAUUAACCAAGAUAAACGUACUCUUCUCCAAAUACUAAAUUAGAUACUUUUUAAAUAACUUGAUCUAUAGAAAGUUAUUACAGAGAACUCAAAUCGGUGAGGAAUUAAAAUUGCAACAUCUUAGUAUCUUAAUUUGUAGCAUUAAACAUUAAAUCUCGUUUAAACUCGGUCAUUUAGCAGGAUAUAGAACGCAUUGAUAAACUGCUUUUGAAUUAGUUGGCUUUUCUCGCUUUUUCUAAACAUUAAAUUGUAUACAUAGUCCAAGGUUUGAACGAAAACGAUAACUUGUUACCGUAAUUCAAAGAACUUUUAGCUAUCGAGUUAGAUGCCAAUAUUAAGUAUAAAUUGCACUUAACGGGUUCAUUACAAAUAAGAAAGAUGAACGAAUAACGCUUAGGGAGAGGGUAGGUUGGAAUGCAGGGCAACACGUUAUGUGCUGGUCCCUGUUUACUUUCUGUCUAGGCUGUUUGGGACCGGCGGUCUAAAUGGAAAGUAUCGGUCCCCAGGGAGCCAGUACUUAACGUGUUAAUGGUCGAUGGGGUUGGUAGCCAACGUAAAAAUGGAGGAUUAGGUCGGUAGACACUAAAAUUAAGCGAGAUCGUAAUUGGCUUAAACAAGUACAGUGGGAGAGGGAAGUGUUGAACUCGUACUUGCAAUUUAUACUUCUAAUAUUGGUAACGUUCAUUGGAUAUGAAAGCAAGGAAAAUUAAUUUUCGUAAACUUAAAUAUUUAUGCAGUAAUGCGACGAGACCUUCCAGUGCCUGUAUUUUUCGCGAGUAUUACAGAUGGGGAAGGCUAAUACGCGAUCCUGUAUUUAGUAAGAAAGGCAAGUCUAUUAUUGCGAAGUCUAAAUAUUUUUGAGCAAAACUGCAGUUUAAAAGAAUUGGUAGAAAAGCUUUCAGAUUUUCUCAAUUCCAAGGAGAAGAGUACAGCAGAUACCAUCUUCUGAGAUUUUUUGCCUCGAAUUUUGAGAUCUAAAUCGAAAUGAAUGCCGUCUUAGCAUUUAACUGGUUGACAAGCAUUCUAUUUAACUUGAAUCGUUUUAAGUACCUAAAAAAAAGGAUGACGCUUCGAUAGCUUUAACCCAAUGCAAUCUUCUAAAAUUCUCAAAUUUAAGUCUUAAAUAAUUGAAGAGAUAUUUAAAGUUAAAAUUAACGCUUCUGUAAUUUUAACCAGUGUCUUCUGAAAUUUAAAUAGUCCUGGGAAUGAUUUUUCAAAUCGAACAUUUUUAAACUUGGUAAAUUUCAGAUCUAAUUCGGAAGACCAUUCAAAAUUAUUAGGACGUUUACAGCUGCAUUUUCUAUUUCAUUCAAGCGUAUGUCGAAGUUAAUUAAAGUGCUUAAAUUUUCUUUUGUAAUAGUAACUUCAGUAAGAUCUUUAGUACAAUGCUAAUUUCUCUUCUGCCGCUCGUUUAGCGAAUUUUUUCCUAUAAAACUAAUAUUUGAAUUUUGAAUUUGCUGGAUUCUUAAUUAAAACUUUAAUUGCGUGAUAAGCCAUCAUAUCGGGAAUCGAACGCAAUUCCUUUCGUGCAAUAAUGUAAGCUUUGAUUUCGGAAGUCUUCAAAUAUUCCACUUAAAUAGCGUACUAAACAUUUGAAUUGAUAUCUUUUAAAUUACCAUCAUUAUAAACAUUUAAAUUCGUACAAUCGUCCGUUUCAUUUGAAUAAAAUUUCGUCGUCCAUUUUAAUUUUGCUACAUAAUGUUUCAUUAACGUCCAACUCGAUUUAAAUCGGAAUUCUUCUGAUAUGUGCAAUUUUAAACGAUGCAGUCAAGUUAUUAGCGUGAAAUGACUUGCCUCAAAGCUUUCUAUGCUUGUGCAUCGAAGGCUUCCAUACCAACAUCCAUAGUCCAAACUUUUCUUUAAUUUUAAGUAUAAUACAUUUUGAAAUAAGUUUUCAUUGAAGUUCCCUUAUUUUAAAGUCUCCAAUUAAAGUAAAUUUUUUUAUUGUAAGCUUAAAACUAUUUUCAAUAUUAGCUGCUUAAUAUUUUGUCUAUUCGUAAUUUCGUAAGAUUGUAUUCAUUUGAUUAUUGUAUGGAAUAUUUUAAUGCGAAGGUGUACAAGAUCUUAAGAGCAAGAACUUCUGUAAUUAUCAUUAUGUAUGAAGAUUAAUAUAUUACUCUCAAGGCUGGAUGGUGUAUAGAUUAAAUAGAUUCCAUGAAGCAUAAUAAUUUAUUCGCGAAUAUUUUUAUUUAUAAAACUAAUUUAUAAGUUUAAAUAUUUCAUAAUAGGUCAUUCGCAAAGGCUACAAUAGAAAUCCAGAUCAAUUAAGAGCAAUUACGCCUCCGUUUGAGAUGGAAACGUCUACAAAAUGCAGAUUAAUCGUAGUUUAAGCAUUUUUCACAUUUAGAAUGCAGUUUUCUAGUUUAAAACUUUUUAUUGUGCAAUGAGCUUAUGUUCGUAAACACAGCGCUUUACAACUGUGAUUUAGAUAUAGGUUGAAACUCUAAAAUUCUGCAUACGCUUCUCGUAUUAUAUAGGAAUGCCCCUUUGCCUUAAAAAUCCAACUUAAAAUAAAAACAACUGAAGUU